rnacentral:misc_RNA from 1 species
GAUGAAGAACGUAGCGAAAUGAGAUAAGUAAUGUGAAUUGCAGAAUUCAGUGAAUCAUCGAAUCUUUGAACGCACAUUGCGCCCGCCAGUAUUCUGGCGGGCAUGCCUGUUCGAGCGUCAUUACAACCCUCAGGCCCCCGGGCCUGGCGUUGGGGAUCGGCGGAGCCCCCCGUGGGCACACGCCGUCCCCCAAAUGCAGUGGCGGUCCCGCCGCAGCUUCCAUCGCGUAGUAGCUAACACCUCGCGACUGGAGAGCGGCGCGGCCACGCCGUAAAACACCCAACUCUUCUGAAGUUGACCUCGAAUCAGGUAGGAAUACCCGCUGAACUUAAGCAUAUCAAUAAGCGGAGGA